rnacentral:rRNA from 1 species
AUGCUAACUUUUAUUGUGCAAUUAGUCAAAGAACGCAGAUUUUGUGGGCGUUCCACAGCAGACAACUUGAAGAGAGAAUUGAUUUAUAAAUUGGCUGUCGGAGAUGCCACCCAUAGCCAGAUUGUGAGGUCUCUUCCCCGUGACCUUUCGUCAAGCGAACAAUUUCAAGAUGUUCUAGAUUCAGUCGCAGUUUGUUCUGAUCCAUCUGGAAAGAAAAAGGUUUUAGCCUUGAAAUUAUACUACAUGCUUCUGCAACUUAACUUUGAAUGGGUGACUAAUAAGAAAAGUUAUCACAGGGCAAGUAUGUGCUUCACGAAGCAUUCUGGAAGGAGUUGGACUUGUAUCACCCGCGAUGGAGUUCUAGGGAAUUACAGAUUGCUAAAGAGAGAUAUUACCGUUUUUGCAAAGUUUCUGCUCUUGGCGCUCAACUGCCUCAAUGGACUCAUGUUUUGA